rnacentral:rRNA from 1 species
GAAGCCAGUUGAUCUAUGCCUGGAUAGGUUGAAGCCCUUCGAAAGGAGGGUGGAGGACCGAACCGGUAAUGAUGUGCAAAUCUUUCGGAUGAUCUGGGCAUAGGGGUGAAAGGCCAAUCUAAACUGGAAAUAGCUGGUUCCUCCAGAAACUAGUCGCAGCUAGACCUCAACCGAGACAGAUCAUGGGGUAGAGCACCGAUCAGGGUCUUAGGCCGCGAAAGCGGUCGGAUCCUUGUCGAACUCCGAACUCGUGAUCGUUGUAGACGUUGGGAGUGAGGGCCUCUGGGGUAAGCUUGGGGUCCGUAAGGGAAUGCAACCCAGCCUAAAGUUAAGGUCCCUAAAUUCCGGCUAAGUGUAACAUGAAAAGUAGUCUGUAGUCCAAGACAACCGGGAGGUGGGCUUAGAAGCAGCCAUCCUUUANNGCGCUGAAAAUGGACGGGGCUAAGCCGGAUACCGAUACUUUAGAGCACCGUAAGGUGAUCUUGUAUGGAGGCGUCGGGCAUGGGUAGAAGCAAGGCCGUAAGGUCUUGUGGACCGUGUUCGAACGAGGAUCCUGGUAGGAGUAGCAGCAAAGAAUGGUGAGAAUCCAUUCCGUCGAAGGGGCCAGGGUUCCUCGGCAAUNNAGCCGAGGGUUAGCCGAUCCUAAGGCACUCCUUAAUCGAAAGUGCCGAAAGGGAAGCAGGUUAAUAUUCCUGCGCCGCAGGAGCCUCUGUCUGUCAUCUGACGCAUCAGGAUAUGCUGAGCAAGUUUACCUGCUUGUUCAAGUACUGAAACUUGGGAAGAACCGUAAUGGUGAGAACCUUGUAAAUGUACGAGUAGGAGGACGAAAGUCCUCUUCAGCUGAGUCCCGGUGCCCAUGAAAACGAUGGCAGUAACAGCUCCUGUGUUCGUACCAAGAACUGACACAGGUGCCCCUAGGUGAGAAGCCUAAGACGUGUCGGCGUAAUCCAAGGCGAGGGAAUUCGGCAAAUUAGCCCCGUACCUUUGGUAGAAGGGGUGCCAGCCAUGAAAAUGGCUGGUCUCAGUAACUCGGGAGCUCCGACUGUUUAAUAAAAACACAGGUCACAGCAAGUCCGAAAGGAUGUGUAUUGUGGCUGAAGCCUGCCCAGUGACGGUAUCUGAAUCUCGGGUACAACCGAACGAAGGACCGUUAAANNUCUUAAGGUAGCGUAGUACCUUGUCGCUUAAUUGGCGACUUGCAUGAAGGCCCAACGAGAGCUCUACUGUCCCCGCCUGGAAGCCGGUGAAACUGAUAGUACUGGCGCAGAAUCCAGUACCUUCCACCUGAAAGCGAAGACCCCAUGGAGCUUUACUGCAGCCUGUUGUUGUGGUAUGAGCCUGGAUGUGUAGGGUAGGCGGGAGACGCUACCCAGGAUCUACCGCUAGGUAGACUCCGAGUCAAUGAUGAAACACCGCCCUUCUGGGUUCGUAUCACUAACUUCGAGAGAAGGACACCGGUAGGUGGGCAGUUUGGGUGGGGCGCCACGCGCUCAAUAAGCAAACAAGCGCGCCCAAUGGUUAGCUCAGGCAGGUCAGAAAUCUGCCAGAGAGUGUAAAGGCAAAAGCUAGCUUGACGCCGUUCCGGAUAACAAGGCACGGCGAUACGAAAGUAGGGCUUAACGAACCACUGUACCUUCUAUGUGGGGGUCAGUGAUGACAGAAAAGUUACCCUGGGGAUAACUGAGUCGUCGCCAGCAAGAGUUCAUAUCGACCUGGCGGCUUGCUACUUCGCUGUCGGCUCUCCCUAUCCUGGCGGUGCAGCAGCUGCCAAGGGUGGGGUUGUUCGCCCAUUAAAAGGGAUCGUGAGCUGGGUUUAGACCGUCGUGAGACAGGUUUGUUGCUUUUUGGUGGAAGUGUAUAGAUGCCUGACGAGAAGGAUCCUUUAGUACGAGAGGAACGGGGAUCCGCUGCCUCUAGUUUAUCAAUUGUCUGGUAAGGCAUUGUUGAGCAGCCACGCAGCAGUGGAUAAGAGCUGAAAGCAUCUAAGCUCGAAGCCACCUUGAAAAAGAGGCAUCGCAGCGCUCGUAAAUGACGAGUUUGAUAGGACCGGGGUGUAAGCAUCGAGGGUUCGCCCGAGGUGUUCAGCCUGUCGGUUACUAAAGUUGUAUUAGCCACUACU